UUAUGGGGUUAUUGGGGUUAUAGGGUUAUUGGGCUGUGGGGUUAUGGGAACGUGGGGUUAUGGGAUUAUUGGGCUGUGGAGUUAUGGGGUUAUUGGGGUUAUGGGGCUGUGGGGUUAUUGGGGUGUAUGGUUAUGGGGUUAAAGGUCUGUGGGGUUAUGGGGCUAUUGGGGUAAUGGGGUUAUGGGGCCGUGGGUUACAGCGGCCAAAUAAAUCACCAUUUCCGCUGCCUCCGCGCUUUGCUGAGCUCCCGCCGCCUCUUGAACAGCUUCCGGCGCAGCUCCUGCGGGACGGAACCGUUACCGGAACCGGAAGCGAACCCCCAACUCCCCCUCCCCCCCCCACUCCCGGUUUCCCGCCGAGUACCGUUUUCGGGCGGUUGAUUUUCCCCCCGAUCCCCAUGGCGCACGUGCAACUUCCGGUCGGGCCCACUUCCGGCUCCUCCGACUUCCGGCCACACCCCUUCCGCUGUGCGCCACGAGGCUCUCCCCCUCACUUCCGCUCCUCGCCCCCUUCGUCCCGCCCUUCCUCUCUCCCUAUUGGUUUCCCGUCUCCAUCGCCGCGCGUGAUUGGCUCCCUUCCGGACACAGCCGCUUUUGAUUGGCCGAGCGGGGCAGAAAAGGCGCCGCGUGGAAGCGGGGCGGCCAUUUUGCGGCGGAGCGGCGAACGGAGCGGAGGGUCUGCCAAUGGACGGCAACGAAGACGAGAGGUAGUGCUGUGCCCCAUAGAGUGCUCUGCCCCAUAGCGUGCUGUGCCCCAUAGCGACGUGUGGGGCUGCCCCAUAGAGCGCUGUGCCCCAUAGCCACGUGUGGGGCUGCCCCAUAGCGUGCUCUGCCCCAUAGCAACGUGUGGCGCUGCCCCAUAGAGUGCUCUGCCCCAUAGAGCGCUGUGCCCCACAGCG
rnacentral:lncRNA from 1 species